UCGUAUUCCUUUCAGAUUAUUGUAAUUAAUUCAAAUAUUUACGAUAAUAGCGUAAGUCUGCACCACAGUGAUGUAAUUCAUCCAGUUUGCGCUAGAGUAGUUCAGUGUUUGGAAUCGGUUUUUAUGUGAUUGCCAUUUUCAUGCAUUUCUUGACUUUAUUUUUUUUUUGUAUGUUCCUUUAUUUAGAUGAUGAAUGUGUUUAUACUUAGAAAUACUUUAAAAAGGUAUUGAUGGCUGACAGUUCUUUGCUAUUUAUCAUUGAUUUUAAAAAAAGUGGAUUCUUUUCAGUUGAGACUAUCCUUAAUUGAAGCAAUACCCAAAUUUACAAAAUGAUUAUAUGGGUUAAAAAUAAACUGAGUGUGAUGAAGAUCAGUGUGCCAAAACUUUACCAUGACCAUCAACGUUUAUCAGGGUUGUGAAUUGUGAACUUAACACACAUUUUUGUUACAUUGUGAAUCUGUUACUGGUGCAUCCGUCCUCUAAUGUGCAUCUAUGAUAGUCUUUGAAGAGAAAGAAGUGUCUUAUUGAUUGAUACAAAGAACAUAUACAUGUAUAUCAAUCUUUGAAUAAUUAUUCUGAAUGUUUAUUUUGUGCAAUUUUUGCUUUCAUUAAAAUUUAUAUGAUGUC
rnacentral:misc_RNA from 1 species